rnacentral:rRNA from 1 species
AACGAACGCUGGCGGCGUGCCUAACACAUGCAAGUCGAACGAGAAAGGGGCUUCGGCUCCGAGUAAAGUGGCGCACGGGUGAGUAACACGUGGGUAACCUGCCUCUAAGAUUGGGAUAACUCGUCGAAAGAUGAGCUAAUACCGAAUAAGACCACAGUUCCCGCGGGAACAGGGGUCAAAGGUAGCCUCUGCUUGCAAGCUAUCACUUAGAGAUGGGCCUGCGCACCAUUAGCUAGUUGGUAGGGUAACGGCCUACCAAGGCAAAGAUGGUUAGCUGGUCGGGGAGGAUGAGCAGCCCCAGUGGAGCUGAGACCCGCCCCGACCCCCGAGGGGAGGCGGCGGGGGGGAAUUUUGCGCAGGGGGCGAAGGUUGGACGCAGCACCGCGGGGGGGGGAAGGAGGCCUGUCGGGUCGUAAAGUUUGGUGGGGGGGAACGAAUCCUCAUGGGGUUACCACCCCGGGGGGGUGACGGUACCUAAAAGGGAAGCCCCGGCUAACUCGGUC